GAAUAUGAAGCGAUAUAUUGCAAUUAGUUUCGACCUAAUCUUAGGUAAAUUACCCUU
rnacentral:tRNA from 1 species